GGACCUGACUGUUAUCGGAUUGAUACUAAGCCAUGCGAGUCAUUGUAGCAAUACAAGGCAUACGGCUCAGUAACGCGUAGUCAACCUAACCUAUGGACGGGAAUAACCUCGGGAAACUGAGAAUAAUGCCCGAUAGAACAUUAUGCCUGGAAUGGUUUAUGUUCCAAAUGAUUUAUCGCCGUAGGAUGGGACUGCGGCCUAUCAGUUUGUUGGUGAGGUAAUGGCCCACCAAGACUAUUACAGGUACGGGCUCUGAGAGGAGUAGCCCGGAGAUGGGUACUGAGACACGGACCCAGGCCCUAUGGGGCGCAGCAGGCGAGAAAACUUUGCAAUGUGCGAAAGCACGACAAGGUUAAUCCGAGUGGUUUCUGCUAAAGAAACCUUUUGUCAGUCCUAGAAACACUGAUGAAUAAGGGGUGGGCAAGUUCUGGUGUCAGAC
rnacentral:rRNA from 1 species